AUUGAACGCUGGCGGCAGGCCUAACACAUGCAAGUCGAACGAGUGGCGGACGGGUGAGUAAUGUCUGUGAAACUGCCUGAUGGAGGGGGAUAACUACUGGAAACGGUAGCUAAUACCGCAUACCAUCAGAUGUUCCCAGAUGGGAUUAUCUGGUUGGUGGGGUAACGGGGCACCAAGGCGACGAUGCCUAGCUGGUCUGAGAGGAUGAACAGCCAGACUGGAAAUGAGACACGGUCCAGACUCCUAAGGGAGGCAGCAGUGGGGAAUAUUGCGCAAAGGGCGCAAGGCUGAUGCAGCCAAGCCGCGUGUAUGAAGAAGGGCUUGGGGUUGUAAAGUUCUUUAAGCGGGGAGGCGUUACCCGGAGAAGAAGCACCGGCUAACUCCGUGCCAGCAGCCGCGGUAAUUC
rnacentral:rRNA from 1 species